UACGGAGGUUGCAAGCGUUAUCCGGAUUUAUUGGGUUUAAAGGGUGCGUAGGCGGAUUUGUAAGUCAGUGGUGAAAUCCUGCAGCUUAACUGUAGAACUGCCAUUGAUACUGCUAAUCUUGAGUACAAUUGAGGUAGGCGGAAUGUGUAGUGUAGCGGUGAAAUGCUUAGAUAUUACACAGAACACCGAUUGCGAAGGCAGCUUACUAAACUGUAACUGACGCUGAGGCACGAAAGCAUGGGGAGCAAACAGG
rnacentral:rRNA from 1 species